AUUGAACGCUGGCGGCAGGCCUAACACAUGCAAGUCGAACGGUAGCACAGAGAGCUUGCUCUCGGGUGACGAGUGGCGGACGGGUGAGUAACGUCUGGGAAACUGCCCGAUGGAGGGGGAUAACUACUGGAAACGGUAGCUAAUACCGCAUAACGUCGCAAGACCAAAGUGGGGGACCUUCGGGCCUCACACCAUCGGAUGUGCCCAGAUGGGAUUAGCUAGUAGGUGGGGUAAUGGCUCACCUAGGCGACGAUCCCUAGCUGGUCUGAGAGGGUGACCAGGCACACUGGAACUGAGACACGGACCAGACUCCUACGGGAGGCAGCAGUGGGGAAUAUUGCACAAUGGGCGCAAGCCUGAUGCAGCCAUGCCGCGUGUAUGAAGAAGGCCUUCGGGUUGUAAAGUACUUUCAGCGGGGAGGAAGGCGGUGAAGUUAAUAGCUUCACCGAUUGACGUUACCCGCAGAAGAAGCACCGGCUAACUCCGUGCCAGCAGCAGCCGUAA
rnacentral:rRNA from 1 species